GGCUUUUCCCUUGAAGAGAAAUACUAUAGGACAACAAAGCCUUCCAAGUGGAAGGUGUUGGUCGUCUGACUUCUCCUUUUGCUUAGCAUCUCCAAAGUUGUUUGGCCUUCCUGCCACUCACAUAUGGAAAUGCUAAGAGGUGUGACUUUCCACAGGGGGAUUAAGCAGGUUUAUCCUCAAGUUCAUGUAUUUUAGGGAAGGGUCCCUAUGGAAUUUGAGAAACUAGAAACGUAUUGACUGAGGAUUAUCCAAGCAUAGGUCCCCCUCACAGAAUUUCCAUGUACCUUCAGAGAUAUGUGGACCCCAAGGGAAUGCCAGAUAGCUAUUAGAUAAAAUUCCCUGCCUCCUGCCAAUAUGUUUUUCUCCCUAUUCUUUUAUUCCAGAGAGAGAGAGAGAGAGAGAGAGACAGAGAGAGAGAGAGAGAGAGGGAGAGAGAAAGACAGUAUUUCCCCACACAUUGGUUCACAACGUUUAACCCACCCUCACCUCAAGGGUGAAUAGUGCACUCAUGAAUACUUGGCUUAGAGAAAGACAGGGGGCUGCUGGAGACGUUAAACUUCCAGGAAAAGUUUAGGAAGUGAUCCCAAAGGUUUAGAAUAGCAAACAAACAAAUAAGGGAACCUGAACGCCAUCGGAAGAAAUCAUUGCCUCUGCAGGUUGUGCUUUGCUUUCUUCAAAUAGGCAUGCGGAUUUCAGAUGGGAAUCGUGGGAUCGUAUUUCAUCAGGGUACGCUCAAAACUUAACAAGAGCCCUUCCCUCCACGCGCCUGCAGCACUCAGCCAUUAAUACUGAGAAUCUUUACCGUGAGAAGCCAAGAUUCUUACCUUCCCAGAGUAUGAGUCAACAUUUGAUGUGCCUUCCAAGAAAAAGACAGAAGUGUAAUCUUCGGCGGCACGAGUGGAUGGACCUCUGGUUCUGGGAUGUUGGGGUGAUUCACCAUGCUUUAUACUCCCUGCCUGCUGUUCACCUCUGGUUCUGACAGCCUCAUUCUAACGGGGCAGCGGGAUGGUAAGGGGGACUCAGCAGCUCCUUCCUACCCAGGAACCAAGGAUUACUCAGUCAUUGGUGAAUGAUGUCAUGUGCAGAGCACAUGGGGGAACCGGGGAUGUUUCUCCUAGAGAAAAGGGCAGGCAGGAUAAGGGCUAGUUUCAAAUUAUCUGAAUGGCUGCCUUUCUCGAAGAGUGAUGAACUUUUAUUAAAAGCUAAAGAAUGGGGCGCCUGGGUGGCGCAGUCGGUUAAGCGUCUGACUUCAGCCAGGUCACGAUCUCGCGGUCCGUGAGUUCGAGCCCCGCAUCAGGCUCUGGGCUGAUGGCUCGGAGCCUGGAGCCUGUUUCCGAUUCUGUGUCUCCCUCUCUCUCUGCCCCUCCCCCGUUCAUGCUCUGUCUCUCUCUGUCCCAAAAAUAAAUAAAUAAACG